ensembl:lncRNA
UGUGAAAGUUGGGGAAGCCUCCUCUAUGUACCUUCGGGGUUUCUGAAGAGAAAGUAAAGCCAGCCCUACAGGCAGGCUAACCUAGACAUAACUGGAUACAGUGGGCUGUCUGUCCUGGACCUGGUUAUUUCUCCGGUGGGAGAGCUGCCCUCCUUUGUGACUUUAUAGAUAUGAAGCAGAAAUCCCAGGUCUGGUAUUCAUAUCAAUCUUUCUGAGGAACGGAUUGGCCGUCUUUUAUCCUGCCCUUCCACCCCUGCACAGGGACUCUAAGAAGGCCACAAUUACUGCACCUCCCUCCAUUUGGCUGUCAGCCUUCCCACCUGGAAGCAGACGACACUUCCUGUCCUGACCAGGCUGGCCUCCAGUGUGCUUUGAGCAACAGAAUGAUGUUGAAAGUGCAACUUACAAGAGAUGACGUUCCGGUACUCCUGGGGCCACACAUGGAGUGCACUGCCACUUUUUCUCUCACAGGAAAGAAAUCCAACCACACAGAGAUCGCCAAGCUACGCCAAAGCCCAAAUUAUCCACACAGAAGCUCCAUGAAGAAGACAGUGAGGCCCAGAGAAUUGGCUAAAGGCACGAAAUAUUCAAGUAAAGAAGGUUUUUGUUUUGCUUUGUUUUGUUUUGAGUGUUCAAACCCCAAAUUACGCUCUAUAACCAGAACCACCCAGCUGCACUCAGCUCAGACUGUAGAAUUAUGGGAAAUGAUAAAAUGGAGGUAAGCCACUUGGUUUUGAGGGUGGCUAAUUCUGUAGCAAUGGCUGAAUGCCUCUGCUGCUGCCCUCUGCUUUAUGCCCUACAUUGCAGACAGCGUGUGGCCCCUGGCUCGUUGGUGCUGCCUCCGCUCCACUCAUCUCCAGUUAUAAUCUCCUUUCUGCCUUUCUUUUUCUGUAGCACAACUUCAUCUCCACUUCUGUCUCAUCUCUUUUUGCUCCCAUAGCUUCCCAUGGCACUCUCAAUGACGUUGUGAACGUUCCUUCAUGCAGCUGUCUCCCAAACUCCAAACCAGGAUGUGCUCUCCCAAGUAGAUACCACAUCUUACUCCACAUCAGGUCUCACUUCACACGGAAGUAUGAGCGAACCCCUUAACUUCCAGCCCAGCUUCUCUGAAUCAGUUAGGCAUUGUGUUCAGUCAUCUACCAGAAUCCCAGCCUCACUGGAUUAAUCAGACACUGGCUUGUUUCUGGUUUCCUGCCCCGUUAGCUUUCAAGUGUGUCUUUCUUCUUUGUGGUUAGCUCAAGACUACAGCAUGGCUUCUUUGUCGCUAGCCUCACACCCACAUCCCAGACCGGAAGAAACAACAAGUGUCAGCAUCCCUUCAUCUCACCAACCAGAGCUAUGCCACAAGGACACCCACAGCUAAGGACAGCAAACACCUUGGAGAAUCUCAACUUUGACCCGGAAGUACUCACUACCUGGAACUGUCUGCCUGAGGGUACCAGGGAGAAAACAUGGGUUGUGACUAGUGUUCUCCUCAUUCUCCACCUAUAAAAAGGGGUUAGAACUUACCUUGAUGACUUGUUGAAUUUCAGAGAGACUAUGGGCAAACAUCAUAGUACCCAAGGCAUAACGGCACUCAGGAAAAGCCGUUAUAUCUUGAAUUUCCAGAAGUGGCCGUUAGCAGGGAGUUUUCCUGAAGGUGCUAAAAAUGUAUAAUAGAGACAUGGUUUGGACUCUUCAGUUCUUUUACAUUGAAUUCACUUCUUGGUUAAUAAAUCUUUUCUUGAUAGUCUAUUCAACCACUAAUAAAUCCAGCUGGAUUGUCAUUAUGACUCUUCACUUACAUGUGACACAUGAAAAAACAAGGCUUGGAAAGACACAAAGGGUGAGUUGGCAGGGUGCUACAGCCCUGUGGCUACAGAGCUGCAUAUUUCUUCUCUGAUUCAUGGAAAAAUACGUAGCACAUAGAAGUCAGC